AUACGUAGGGGACGAGCGUUGUCCGGAAUUACUGGGCGUAAAGGGCGCGCAGGCUGCGCGUCGAGUCGGCUGUUAAAGAUCCGGGCUUAACCCGGUGAAGCGGUCGAGACCGACGAGCUGGAGUGCUGCAGAGGCAAGUGGAAUUCCCGGUGUAGCGGUGAAAUGCGUAGAUAUCGGGAAGAACACCGGUGGCGAAGGCGACUUGCUGGGCAGCAACUGACGCUGAGGCGACGAAAGCCAGGGGAGC
rnacentral:rRNA from 1 species